GACGAACGCUGGCGGCGUGCUUAACACAUGCAAGUCGAACGGAAAGGCCCUGCUUUUGUGGGGUGCUCGAGUGGCGAACGGGCGAGUAACACGUGAGUAACCUGCCCUUGACUUUGGGAUAACUUCAGGAAACUGGGGCUAAUACCGGAUAGGAGCUCCUGCUGCAUGGUGGGGGUUGGAAAGUUUCGGCGGUUGGGGAUGGACUCGCGGCUUAUCAGCUUGUUGGUGGGGUAGUGGCUUACCAAGGCUUUGACGGGUAGCCGGCCUGAGAGGGUGACCGGCCACAUUGGGACUGAGAUACGGCCCAGACUCCUACGGGAGGCAGCAGUGGGGAAUAUUGCACAAUGGGCGGAAGCCUGAUGCAGCAACGCCGCGUGCGGGAUGACGGCCUUCGGGUUGUAAACCGCUUCCGCCUGUGACGAAGCGUGAGUGACGGUAAUGGGUAAAGAAGCACCGGCUAACUACGUG
rnacentral:rRNA from 1 species